AAGAGCCUGGGGGACGAGCUGGGUGUGUUGAGGAUGUGGUGCCCUGAGCCCUGGGAGGCAUGCACAGGGCCUGGGCUGACACUGUGUGGAAGUUCAUUAGCCUCCUCUGAACUCAGUUCUGUCACCGCCAGAAGACCAAGUGAGAGAACUGCGCAGCGCCCAGACUAGGACGCAGGAGCCCUGGCUUGGCGGCUGCUUUGGCUCCUGCUUUACAUUAGGCGACACAGGAGGAAUCACGCCCAAGCCAGGAUUUGCUGCCUCUCUUUGCCCUGUGCCCUGGGCCAGGUCCAGUGGGUGGGGACCUCAGAGCAUGAGGGUUAGGGCAAGGCCCUAGUGCCAAGGGACAGAUUCCAUUCUACCCUGCCCGGCCAGCCCCACCCACCCGAGGCCUGAAGCUCCACGGCGCCCAGUCAGAGGGGUGGAGGAUGGAGACGACACACUCACCAGUGGACCUCUGCUGAGCUUCGCAAGAGACACUGCAGCUGAGGUGGAGCUACUAGAGCGACACCUACGUCAGAAGGGCCCCUGGAGACUGCUGUGGGAAGGCAACAGACAGACAAUGAUGGAGACAAGUUUGCAGAAUGGGAGGAAGCUCUCCAGCCACCUUUACUCAAAGAGAGCCACCGACAAGUGUUGGC